rnacentral:rRNA from 1 species
AUUGAACGCUGGCGGCAUGCCUUACACAUGCAAGUCGAACGGUAACAGGUCUUCGGAUGCUGACGAGUGGCGCACGGGUGAGUAAUACAUCGGAACGUGCCCGAUCGUGGGGGAUAACGAGGCGAAAGCUUUGCUAAUACCUCAUACGAUCUACGGAUGAAAGCGGGGGAUCUUCGGACCUCGCGCGGACGGAGCGGCCGAUGGCAGAUUAGGUAGUUGGUGGGAUAAAAGCUUACCAAGCCGACGAUCUGGAGCUGGUCUGAGAGGAUGAUCAGCCACACUGGGACUGAGACACGGCCCAGACUCCUACGGGAGGCAGCAGUGGGGAAUUUUGGACAAUGGGCGAAAGCCUGAUCCAGCCAUGCCGCGUGCAGGAUGAAGGCCUUCGGGUUGUAAACUGCUUUUGUACGGAACGAAAAGCCUCUUUCUAAUAAAGAGGGGUCAUGACGGUACCGUAAGAAUAAGCACCGGCUAACUACGUG